CCAUGGCCCCGCCCGCUGCCCCCGCGAGAGGUAAACAAAGAGCGGAGAGGCGUCGGCGCGUCACGUGGUGGCGGUGUGGUGUGCAUGCGCUGUGAGGUUGGUGAGGCACUGGCACAGCUGCCCCAAGAGGCUGUGGAUGCCCCAUCCCUGGAGGCGUUCAAGGCCGGGCUGCGUUGUCAUCUGAAAGCUGUGAAGAAAACUGUCUAACUCCAGUGUGGUGUUAGAGAGUGACCUUCCUCGUGAUACGUACUGGGCAAGUUGACGAAACAUCUGCCUUGGUGGUGACAAACUGGAAACACUGGGACUGUGCCUGGCCAAUUUCAUAUUUCACAGAUGAGGUGCUCGUGUGGGAACAGUGAAGACAGGCUGCUCCAAAAGGGUGGUGAGCUGGGAGUGGAGCCAUGUGGAAAUGAACAAAGCCACUAAGGAAGAACAUGUCAAGAUGAGAAAAAAUAAAUGGACAGCAGAAACUGGUGUAAUCUCAGGGCCAAAAUCUCUUACUCCAAGUUUUGAAAUGAGUAUUGGUAGAAGUUGGCUCCUCUUGAAAUCUGAGAAAUUAAAUUCAAAUCAUUUAAAUGAAACGGGCAGUCUGUAACAUAAACUGGGAGCUUAAUACAAAUGAAACCACCAUAACGUGUUGUGUCUCAUCUAAACACAUUAUUAUUCUCAAAGGCCUCUAUAAACAUUAAUAACUGAAUGAUGUUUUAACCUCUGAUUCACAAACAGAGGAUAAAAUUAAAAAUGGAAAAGGAUUAUACUUUUUUCUAAAUUGCAUUUUACUUGUGAGUUUGAUAGGGGGACAAUUGGCCUAGCAUAAACAGUAUCAUAUUUGUCGUGGCUUUUAAAGUGCAUCCAAUUAUAAUUUGAGUGAUAAACUAAUGCUGCUAACCAGGUUAGUGCAGCCCAGCUGGGCCCUGAAAUGUUUUAGUGAACACUGCUUGCUUAAUCCAAUAAUCUCUAAUCCAUAGCGUGGGAGAAAUGUUUCCAUCAGGAAGCUGAAGUAGUAAAUGUAUCAUGUCGUUUAGAAGAUUAUAGCCAGGCCUGCCUCUGCAGUCUGGUCUCAGAAGGACACUCUGUACCAAUUAUGUCCAGCUCUCUGCUAGGCUGAGACCAAAUCUCAGGAUAUUUGCAGCAGAGUGCUGUUCUGUCACCUCGGCACUGGGGUCGGAUUAAUUCCCCUUUUGUCACGCUAGUGUUAAUAACUUCUUACAUACGUCAGUAAAUGGUAACUGUUGUCCCUUGUCUUUUGCAAUUCACAAAGCAAGACUGGAAUAAAAGUUCUGAAUCUAAGUGCUUGUGACAUCACCUUAUAUCACCAUGAUAUGGACCCAUUAUGGGAACUACUGCCAUGCUAUUGAUAGACCU
ensembl:lncRNA